rnacentral:lncRNA from 1 species
CCCCAGACAGGGCAUGGGGAGGGCGGGGCUCUCUGACUGCUUAUGCGCUCCUACGGAGGCUGACUGCUGCGGGGGUGCCUUGUGCCUGCAGGGUGUUGAAGGAGCUUAGCUCACGUUCAAACAUGGCUCCAUCAGCCCCUAACCCACUGGAGUCUUCGCACAGUGAUCCUUCGUGACAUGCAUCCUCCGUGACAGUCAAGACUGGGUUCCUUGUGCAUCAAGGAUAGCUAACCAGCCCUUGAUUCACACUGGACAUGACAGUGAAGGGAGUGUGCCUGCACCGCUGUAAUUCUGUGCAUCUAAAUUUUGUGCUUAAGGACAGAAGAUUGAAAGAAGCAGAGCUAAGAAACCACAAAGCCUUAUGUGAGCUUCGAGUUAAGCAUCUCUGGUUGAGAGGCAGAGAACAUAGUCCACAGAACAGUCCAGGGACAGAGAUCUGGUACAAACUGGAUCCUUUGAAUCUUUGGCACAACACUUCUCUGCACAUGUCUAGGGUGAAACUCUGGGAGGCAGACCUGAAAUACGAUCCAGGUUGCUGUGAGGGUGGCUAUCCAAAUGCCCACGGGGAAGGAGAACUUGAAUUGUGUCCAACUGGACCCUAGAUUUCAUGGAACCACUGGCACUACCAGUGAAGACUCCAGAACAGUCAAAGCUAUACAUCAGAUAGGAUAUUUAGACUUCAAGCAAAGCCUGUGUCCACCAUGAGGAAACUUAAAAACAAGUGGGAAAGGAUCAGCUUGAUCAAGAAGGAACUUGACAUCUGCUAACCCAAACUAACAUUGUGUGUUGGGGGGCAAGGUGGUGCUAGAGAUUGAAGCUAAGGCCUUUACACUGAGGUACAUCCAAGCCUGCUAAACUGCUCAGGCUAGAGUGAAACUUAAGACCCUCAGGACUCAGCCUUCCAGAUAUACACCACCAAGCCUGGCUUUUCAGCAUUCUUGACAGAAAAGAAGCCGAGGCAAACUCUCAGUGGUAAUGGCAUUCACAGAGCUGCAACCAGUCCGCCAUCUCUGGAUGUGUAGGAAAGCUAUGAACUAUUAAGCAGAUCUAGGAAACCCAGCCAAUAGAAACAGACCAAGGAAUACCAG